CCGCCCUCAGCCCUGGCCCCCGGCCCUCAGUUCCUGGGAUCGCCCCGCCUAGGCUCUGGUUCCUCCCAGGCUCUGGUCUGCCUCUCCCACCAGGGCUCUGUUUCCUGCCUUUGUGACUGUAUUUGGAGAUAGAGCCUUGAAUGAGAGGAAAGAUCACGUGAGGACACAGUGAGAAGGCAAUUGUCUGCAAAACAGGAAGAAAGCUCUCAUCAGAAACUGAAUCUUCAAGUACCUUGACCUAGGACUUCUAGCUCUGAAAUUAUGGUCCCAAAUUUACGGAGGCUGGACUCAAACUUGGAUCUUUCUGCCUCAGUCUUCAGAAUAGUGGGAUUACAGGCCUACAGCAAUGGAGCCAGCCAUCUACGGACUGAGACCUCGGAAACCCUGAGCCCCCAAAUAAACUUUUCCUCCUUAAAAUUGUUCUUGUAAGGUUUUU